AUUGAACGCUGGCGGCAUGCCUUACACAUGCAAGUCGAACGGCAGCAUGAUCUAGCUUGCUAGAUUGAUGGCGAGUGGCGCACGGGUGAGUAAUACAUCGGAACGUGCCCUGUAGUGGGGGAUAACUAGUCGAAAGAUUAGCUAAUACCGCAUACGACCUGAGGGUGAAAGUGGGGGACCGCAAGGCCUCAUGCUAUAGGAUCGGCCGAUGUCUGAUUAGCUAGUUGGUGAGGUAAAGGCUCACCAAGGCGACGAUCAGUAGCUGGUCUGAGAGGACGAUCAGCCACACUGGGACUGAGACACGGCCCAGACUCCUACGGGAGGCAGCAGUGGGGAAUUUUGGACAAUGGGCGAAAGCCUGAUCCAGCAAUGCCGCGUGUGUGAAGAAGGCCUUCGGGUUGUAAAGCACUUUUGUCCGGAAAGAAAUGGCUCUGGUUAAUACCUGGGGUCGAUGACGGUACCGGAAGAAUAAGGACCGGCUAACUACGUG
rnacentral:rRNA from 1 species